rnacentral:misc_RNA from 1 species
GUAGGUGAACCUGCGGAAGGAUCAUUAAACGUUUUCCAACGUACCAACCAUGUGAACUCGUUUUCGAGUGUCUGAGGUCGGCCUUGAGUGCGUCAAAGUAUGGUGGGCAUCUCUGUCUUUUUUGUGCAGGGCUCUGCUGUUUGACGUUCUGCAUCACGACUCGCGUCGUGUGACAAGCCGUGCCUCGGCAACCAUUUUUUUUUAUUUUAUUUUAAAACGCAUUGUACCACUCGUACUAACACUUUGUGAA